GAUGAACGCUGGCGGCGUGCCUAAUACAUGCAAGUCGAACGAGGUGCUUGAGUAGCAAUACGAGAGUAUCCUAGUGGCGAACGGGUGAGUAACGCGUUGGUGACCUACCCCAACGUAGUGGGAGUAACAGUCCGAAACGGAAGUUGCUAAUACCGCAUGUGGUCGUUCGGUUUAGUAAACCGAAUGACGAAAGACAGCAAU
rnacentral:rRNA from 1 species